GAUGAACGCUGGCGGCGUGCCUAAUACAUGCAAGUCGAGCGAACGGACGAGAAGCUUGCUUCUCUGAUUUUAGCGGCGGACGGGUGAGUAACACGUGGAUAACCUACCUAUAAGACUGGGAUAACUUCGUGAAACCGGAGCUAAUACCGGAUAAUAUUUUGAACCGCAUGGUUCAAAAGUGAAAGACGGUCUUGCUGUCACUUAUAGAUGGAUCCGCGCUGCAUUAGCUAGUUGGUAAGGUAACGGCUUACCAAGUCAACGAUGCAUAGCCGACCUGAGAGGGUGAUCGGCCACACUGGAAAUUAGACACGGUCCAGACUCCUAAGGGAGGCAGCCGUAGGGAAUCUUCCGAAAUGGGCGAAAGCCUGACGGAGCACCGCCGCGUGAGUGAUGAAGGUCUUCGGAUCGUAAAACUCUGUUAUUAGGGAAGAACAUAUGUGUAAGUAACUGUGCACAUCUUGACGGUACCUAAUCAGAAAGCCACGGCUAACUACGUG
rnacentral:rRNA from 1 species